rnacentral:rRNA from 1 species
GAUGAACGCUAGCUACAGGCUUAACACAUGCAAGGUCGAGGGGAAACGACAUCGAAAGCUUGCUUUUGAUGGGCGUCGACCGGCGCACGGGUGAGUAACGCGUAUCCAACCUGCCCACCAUUGGGGAUAACCUUGCGAAAGUAAGACUAAUACCCAAUGAUAUCCCACGAAGGCAUCCGAAUGGGAUUAAAGAUUUAUCGGUGAUGGAUGGGGAUGCGUCUGAUUAGCUUGUUGGCGGGGUAACGGCCCACCAAGGCUACGAUCAGUAGGGGGUUCUGAGAGGAAGGUCCCCCACAUUGGAACUGAGACACGGUCCAAACUCCUACGGGAGGCAGCAGUGAGGAAUAUUGGUCAAUGGGCGAGAGCCUGAACCAGCCAAGUAGCGUGCAGGAUGACGGCCCUAUGGGUUGUAAACUGCUUUUAUAAGGGAAUAAAGUGGGUCUCGUGAGACUUUUUGCAUGUACCUUAUGAAUAAGGACCGGCUAAUUCCGUG